GACAGGCCUCGUCCUACCUGUCUUCACCUGUAUAAUGACAUCAUCCUAUAGCUGAUCAAUUAAACAUUACAGGUAGUGAGUGAUUUCUCAGGAAGAGUGGGAAAUACUCGGGGGCAGAAUUGAGCCUGCGGUAUCAGUGUGAAGAAGGUAGAAGGCUCUCACAGUUUUCUAGUCAAACUCGUCAGCUUUGUUAUACCGAGUGAGCACACACCACGAAAGUGCAAAUAAUAUGCAUUUCCCAUCUCUGUCCACCAAGACGCCCCUGAAACAUCCCAGUAACAUCCCUGUCCGGAUGCCAAUUUCUAAAUAUUAUCCUCCCGUAAAGAGAACUCAUUAGAAUUUAUAUAUGGCUGCCUCCCCCAGUUGGGAGGCAGAGGCAGGUGGAUCUCUGUGAGUUUGAGGGCAGCCUGGUGGUCUACAGAGUUCCAGGACAGCCAGGGAUACCCAGAGAAACCCUGUCUGGAAAAACAAAACAAAGCAAAAAACUGGAUUCCUGGAUUGGGCAGAGAAAUUUUCAAAAUACACUGGAAUAUCUUACUCCUUUUUUUGCACAGAGGAGUGGGUAUAUUUGUAUUUCCUUGAGUCCCACUGGUUCCUAGAGAUCAGGUGCUCCAGCUGUGUAGGGCUCCACCGUGAGGAAUCUGAUGUGAAGGACAAAUUAGGAAGUGUUUGAGGGAUGAUGGGAGGAGGAGGGGCAUGCCCAAGGACGGAGGAGUGAUCUCUGCUUCUUCUGGCCAACAUGGGCAAGUUAAGAAACUAAUGCUGGGAAUGGAUUGUAAACUCUGGAAAGGAAAAGCUAUGAACUUAUAAUAAUGCAAACAAAUGAAUUAGUAAAUAGGCAGAGAGAAGCGACUCCUGCCUGUACCCUCACACCGUUCCAGGGAUUGACCUAUCCGCACAGUGAGUAAAUGAGAAAUAGGAAGUUAUGGACACUCAAAAGCUGGGAUCCGGUACACUGGGCUCCCCCAUAGGGAAGCCACAGUACCCCAGAAGGACAGCGUGUUUGUUUUCAAUUAAACAUGGAAGUGGGGUUAUUAAAUGCAACAUGCGCAUGCAAACACACACAGAGAGAGAGAGAGAGAGAGAGAGAGAGAGAGAGAGAGAGAGAGAGAGAGAGAGAGAGAGAGAGGUUUAGCUAAUCUCAGUAGGCACAGUAUACAGGGGAGUCUUCAGGCAAUAAAUAAUCAGGAUGAGAAAGCUACGGUGAACAUUUUCUGCACAUGUUAUCAACAUCCACACUUGGAUCAUUUGCCCUCUGGGCUGAGGCGUGGGAUUCCUUAACACAGUCAUGCCAUGACAACAACAUAGAUCCAUUCAAGACAUCAUUCAUUCAGGGCUCCCCACUCCCCACUCUGUGCAGUAGAACUGCAGUGUAAACGAAAACAGGCCAAUACAAAAGGAAGUACUUGUUCCUGUAGAGGGAGGUGGUGUCGAUUCCCUAAUUGGUUCUCGAUUGUGUCAAUAAAGGAGGCAGAAGCCAAUUGCUGGGCGAAGGGGGAAGGGUGGGACUUCAGGAUGGAAGGGAAGGGACACAGGGAAAGAGGAUUUCGGACCAGGCUUUGGAUCCCGGAGGAAGCUGCAGUCAUGUAGGUCAUAGGGCCCCUAGAGUUUGUAGCCUCCUUGUUGAGCAGGGGCCGAGGAGGACGGAGGGAGGCAUCUAGUUGAUAAGAUUAGGGCGGGAAAUUCUUCGCCCAGCCAUUGAGCUAUCUGGCUAGUUUUAAAAUAAUAAAAGUAGUCUCCCAUCCGUGGGACUGAGGUGGGCAGGAGGAGAAAGAGUGUUGGCAGCUUGGCGAAGCUAUCUCUGAGGGGUUGCAGGGAGUAGUUGCAAUUCCAGGGAGGAAAAAUGGCCUCUGGCUGUUGGCGGAGCUGAGUGAAAAUCUCUGAGCCUAUCCUGGAGCGCAGGCAGAGCUCCCAAGAAGGGGGAAGUGUGGGGGAAGUGUGCGAGUGUGUGUGUGUGUGUGUGUGUGUGUGUGUGUGUGUGUGUGUGUGUGUGUGUGUGUGUUUAAAUUACAUGCAACAAAUUCAAGUAUUGUACAAUCAAAGUACUUCCCUAGUGGAGUUUAUGAACUUUAAAUUGUUAGCAUGAUUCUGUUCUAAGAGUGUAAUGAGUUUUCCCAUCUUUUUUGUUAAAAUCCAGUAUUGUCGUUUUCUAUUGCUGUUCUUAUAAAUCACCAGAAGUGGGACUUAAUACCUACAAAUGUAUCAUUACACAGGACUACAGAUUCCAACUGUCAUUAAACUAAAACCAAGGUGUUUGUGUUUCUUUCUGAGGUUCUCGGGACUGGUUUAUUUUCCUGCCUUUCUGUAUUAAAGGCAGCUUGCAUCUCUUGGUUUGUAUACUCUCCUCCAUGUUCAAACACUGAUGGACAGUUAAAUUAUUCUCAUACCACAUUUCUCUAAUACUGUUUCUUCUUUCUCGCUUUCACUCCUGAGGACCCUCAUCGAUUCAGACAGGUAAUCAAAGAAAAAUCCUUUCAUCUCAAAGUCCACUGCCACCUUACAGCCCUCCUGAGAGAACCCUGCUGCAGAGAACCCUGGAGCACAGUGACGGACCAGAAAGCCAGCCGUGCAACGUGCGCUGCCUUCUCGCAGAUGGAUGCAAACUGAGGGCUGUCCCGGCAUGAGGGAAAUGUGUAACGACAGAAGACUGUGGCCUUGUAUCCCAGGACCAACCAAUGCAGGAGGAUUGGUCAGGUAGAAUCCAUUUUGGAGCUUAACAGCAAAAAGCAUUAUGCUAUGUAAUAUCCCUUUGCCCCAGCUUCCCUCUCCCUGGCUUGCAUCUGCCCUCCUAUCUCUUGUCUCUUCACAGCAUCUUCACCUUACAUGUAUUUCUACAUCCAGUUUUCCCGCUCUUCCUGGUACCAAUCACAGUGGCUUAGGGACAACCAUCUUAAUGACAACCUUUUCAUUUAAUUGCCAUCGAAGUCCUGCCUCCAGGCCCAGUCACCCUCAGGAACCAAUGGACUGCUUAACAAACCAUGAAACAACUAACCAACGACCUAGCCCACCUCGUGGGCUCUAGCAUUUACGUACCCUCUGAGAAGUCCUCGGAAUUCCAAAUGUCACACAUUUGCAGAAACGAUCUGCAGCCAGAGAAAUCACCAUGCCCGAGGAACCAAAAUUCCAAAAUUGUCAUUACACUGUACCAGAAGAACUUGAGGCAAUUUAGACUUUACCAAAAAAACCUAGCAUCCCAUGACUCAGAAAACAAUUUAGUGUGUGGCUGGACAGUGAAUGCUCCUGACAUCUUAGCAAUUGGUCCCAAGACCCCAAGGGUGCCAAAAUAGUCUGAUGAUGCUCCAACUCCCCAAGAAAACUGGUACAACACUUGCUCACAGCCUCACUCAGCACCCGUGCACAGUAGGUCAUCUCUAAGGGACCCAUAACUCUAGACACAAUGCCAAUGCUUUGUAAGUAGUUGUGCUGGACUGUUUAGGGAUGAGGAGAAGAGAAUAUCUACAUAUGCUCAGUAUAGAUGCACAUUUUAAAAAUACUUUGAUCUACAGUUCUUUGACUAAGGAUGAAGAACUCAAAGAGAAGAGGUCACGCUCUCUUUCUUGGUUCUUACUAACAUUCUGCACACAUACAUUUAUCAAAAUGGCUUUGAGGCUGAAUGCCUCCACUUUUGCAUACCUCUUGCAUUGUAGACCUUCCGUUGUUACGGUGAUGGCUAAUCUUGGUUAUCAACUUGACUACAUCUAGAAUCAACUAAAACCCAAGCAACUCCACACACCUGUGAGGGAUUUUUUUUUUUUUCAAUUGGAUCAUUUGAGGUGGAAAAUCUGGUUCAAAUCUGGUAGCAGCCCACAAAAAAGGACAUGGAAGGAGGAAACUUUUGAUUUUUGCCUGCUUGCCUUCACUCUUACUAGCAAGUACAUCUGCCUUGUUGCUUCUUCGGGAUUCCAAUACAGACUGAAGACUAGCAGCUCUCUAGGACUCCAGCACCAAAGUGGGACUUUGGAGACAUCCAAUCUCUUGGACUUUCUGUUUAGAAGUGCCCACCAUCAGACCCCAACCUGUAACCACUCUAAUAAAUUUGAUAAAUUUUGUCCCCCAAGA
rnacentral:sRNA from 1 species